CUUUGUAAUAGCAAAUAUUACAAGGCGGAAGGAG
rnacentral:ncRNA from 1 species